rnacentral:tRNA from 1 species
UGCGGGGUAAAGUAGCGGCUAACUUACUGGUCUCAUAAGCCAGACUCCAUUUGGAGACGGAUGUUCGAGUCAUCCCCCCGCUUCCA